GGAGAGGUGGCCGAGUGGUUGAAGGCGCACGCCGGAACGCGUGUAUACGGGAAACCGUAUCGAGGGGUUCGAUCCCUCUCUCCGCCA
rnacentral:tRNA from 1 species